rnacentral:lncRNA from 1 species
CCACUGUGGAUCUCUGGCAGUUAAUUGCACCACUUUGACCCUCAAGAUCUGGAUCAAAGGCAUGCUAUCUUCUUGCCGCGGGAUCUGGAUCACAUUCCCACCUCCACGGCAGCUCUCCUCCAAUCUUACCUGACUUUUCGGUUCUAGAUGGGAGUGCUGACGUUUGGAAAUCCUUCAGGGCUUUGGACCCAACAGUAGUGAGCAGCAGAGAAAAGAGGUGGUUCCAAGGGCUCGCUUUCAUGCUGAUCUCAGUCUCUCUAGGGAUGUUUUGUCUUGUGGAAAGCUCUGCUAGCAUCCAAACACACAAUAGACUCAAAAGUGGCACCCAGUUCCUGCCUUCCAAGUCAUAGUGACCAAGUGGGGCUUCUGUUCAACUGCCAACCAGAGAGUUACCAUCUCACCAAACCCACGUGAGAUGUCUUAUCGACAUCCCACCAUUCGAAGGUGGAAAGCAGCAAAGCUAUUUGUGCAGAAAAAGCAGAAAGAUCCAAGCAGCGAUUUCAAAGCAUGGAGUGAAUUAGCUUGUUUUACUGUCUUCUGGAUGUAAUGGCAAGUAACAUUGAAAUUAAUGAGAAACAUAAAUGACUGGCCUCGAAGAUGGACAUUUGUAGAAAUAAGUCACGAGAAGAUGCAAGGAUGAUGUGGGAGAAAAACUCUGACCCCAACCUGGAGAAUAAUCUAAGCAGCAGAGUAGGAAGCCAACACUGAGGGGAACAAGAGAACAAUCUGUGGAGAGAAGAGCUGGGUAAUGAGAACGCAGGAACAGGAAACCCCAGGAUUCCACAGAAAUCCACCUGCCUAAGAGCUUACUUCAGCCCGCUUCUCUUGCUUAUUCUUCAACUCAGGAAUAUUUGGUUUUUCAGUUACUAUGGAGGCAUGAAAAAAAGUGAACAUCCUGAUACAAAAUAAAAAAUAACUUACUUAAAUGGGAAGAAGAUGAGAAAAAUCAUAUUU